AUUAUUAUGCUGCAUGGUGUGAUAAUUAAAGCUGAGGCGGUAAAGGAUGGGUGUGCGUCUGAUUAGCUAGUUGAAGGUAACGCUUACCAAGGCGAUGAUCAGUAGGGGGCGUGAGAGCGUGAACCCCCACACGGGUACUGAGACACGGACCCGACUCCUACGGGAGGCAGCAGUAAGGAAUAUUGGUCAAUGGAGGAAACUCUGAACCAGCCAUCCCGCGUGAAGGAUGAAGGGGCUCUGCCUUGUAAACUUCUUUUGAAUGGGACGAAAAAAGGGGAUUUAUCCUCGACUGACGGUACCAUUAGAAUAAGCACCGGCUAACUCCGUGCCAGCAGCCGCGGUAAUACGGAGAAUCCGAGCGUUAUCCGGAUUUAUUGGUUUAAAGGGUGCGUAGGCGGAAUAGCAAGUCAGUGGUGAAAGUUUGCAGCUUAAACUGUAAAAUUGCCAUUGAAACUGCUGUUCUUGAGUACAGUAGAGGUAGGCGGAAUGUGUAGUGUAGCGGUGAAAAUGCAUAGAUAUUACACAG
rnacentral:rRNA from 1 species